UACAGAGGUCUCAAGCGUUGUUCGGAUUCAUUGGGCGUAAAGGGUGCGUAGGCGGCGCGGUAAGUCGGGUGUGAAAUCUCGGAGCUUAACUCCGAAACUGCAUUCGAUACUGCCGUGCUUGAGGACUGGAGAGGAGACUGGAAUUUACGAUGUAGCGGUGAAAUGCGUAGAUAUCGUAAGGAAGACCAGUGGCGAAGGCGGGUCUCUGGACAGUUCCUGACGCUGAGGCACGAAGGCCAGGGGGAGCAAACGGG
rnacentral:rRNA from 1 species